rnacentral:ncRNA from 1 species
GGGAGGAAGCGGAGCAGCAAAACGCAGGAGCCUGCGAACAGAAACCUGAUCAGGCUAAAUGGUGGAUAAGGCUGCGUAACAAGCCGAAGUCCGAAAGGUAAACGUAAAACCAGGCGAGUAAAUCAAUAGGUUGUCGAGCGAAAGAUUU